rnacentral:sRNA from 14 species
AACAAAAUCACAGAUGAAUAUUAAACCUGGACUACGGUGUGCGCCAUACAUAGUUCAGUUUAUGACAUUACCUUCUGUUGAUCUACCUUGUGUUUAUUAUGUACAUGGAGACCAAACGCAAGUGCUGGCAAUUAACAGUUAUAGAACAAACAGAAGCAAUCUGUAAUAUUUUACCGCCAAAAUGACUGAAAAAUACUUAUUAUUACAAAAGAGCAAAUGCAGAGGAAUCUUCUUCCUAAUUAGCAUCAACGCAAAAGAGUUUAUAGAAAAGGAUAAUACUAAUGAAAAUUCAAAGGAUUUUAACAUUUAAUGCCAUUUCGUAUAUAGGUUUAAUAACCUGCUGCAAAACAAAAAAAUUUAUCUCCCUCCAGCUCUCCAAUUUCCGUGAUAUAACGCAAAAGCAGCUGCAUCACAGCGUUAUAUACAAAACAAGUUUUUUUUUAAUUUAAAGUCAGAGCCACAUUCAAGUAAUCAAACCCUGAAUCUCUCGAUAUUACAUCGAGGAAAAAUGUGCAUCAAACUACGCCUUAGAAAGCAAAUCCAGCUCGUAUGUACGCGAGCUACGUUGGCAACAACAACAGCGACUGCGAAGUAAAACCUUGAAGUAGAAGAGCAAUAUAGGUUGCCAGCUAAACACGCAAACUAUGGGCGCCGACAUCUUGCCUAAACGUGAGACUCACCAACAGGCUGUAGAUGAGAUUUAAGGUAUACUAUACCAUUGUCGGAUAUAGUUAUAGAUACAACGGACUCAAGAGUUAUGCAUUGCUGUUGCUGCCGCUGUUGAUGGCAUUUUCCCCUGAGCCAACGCCACCAUCUCAUGGAGAAUGAGUACGCAUUUGUGCCAUGGGAGGGAAAAAGAAAAAGUUUUUAGCACCAGCAGCCUUUUGUUUGUGUGUCAAAGGAGCAAGAGCUACACAUUAAAGAAUAUUGGUAGUAGAAGAUGUUGAUGAUAAUGAUGUUUUAAAUUUUGACCGGCGUUGGAGGAGGAAUGAGUAUAAGUAUAUAUACGAAAAAGAUCCUUUGUCGAGCUGCUUGUAAAAAUCACUAAUGGAAUGAUAUAUGAUGAUGGAUGGUUUUUGGGCACAAAAACACAUAGUACACCCUGAAAAAUAAUGUUGCUGAUAUCAGCAAACUAUAGCUGUGUUCGGAAGUCAAAAAUUUGUGCAAAUUUGCAGAAAUUUUUACUGGAAGUCGUUCGCGUACUUUAUUUGCAGCAGAAGAGAGCGUAAGAGAGAGUACAUUUUGACAGUUUAAAAAUAGAGAACUACAAAUUUGUACUGGAACUUUUUUUGCAAACAGAAAUUUGCAACUUUGAACAGAUGUUUUGUAAAGAUCAGCUGUUUUAAGAAAAGCAGCCGUUACAUGAAAAUACAAAAGAACGCCAAAAUAGAUCAAAAAGGCGGAGCUUCAUGACAGCAGCUAGUGUUCAGGUACAGAAAACUCGACAAAAGAAGUUGUAAUUUCAACUCAAGUCGGUUGUUCUACAUUAGAAGACACUAAGAAAAGAGCAAUUAUCGGCAU